UUCUUCAAGAUGCCUGAAGAAGUGCACCGUGGGGAGUAGGAGGUGGAGACUUUUGCCUUUCAGGCAGAAACUGCCCAGCUCAUGUCUCUCAUCAUCAAUACCUUCUAUUCCAACAAGGAAAUCUUCCUUCGAGAGUUGAUCUCUAAUGCUUCUGAUGCCUUGGACAAGAUUCAUUAUGACAGCCUGACAGAUCCUUCCAAGCUGGACAGUAGUAAAGAGUUAAAAAUUGACAUCAUCCCCAACCCUCAGGAAGGAACUCUGACCUUGGUGGACACAGGCAUUGGCAUGACCAAGGUUGAUCUCAUAAAUAAUUUGGGAACCGCUGCAAAGUCUGGUACUAAAGCAUUUGUGGAGGCUCUUCAGGCUGGGGCAGAUAUCUGCAUAAUUGGGCGGUUUGGUAUUGGCUUUUAUCCUGAUUACCUGGUGGCAGAGAAAGUGGUCGUGAUCACAAAACACAAAGAUGCUGAACAGUAUGCCUGGGAAUCUUCUGCUGGAGGGUCCUUCACUGUGCCUGCUGAUUGUGGUGAGCCCAUCGGCAGGGGCACCAAAGUUAUCCUCCACCUUAAAGAAGACCAGACAGUGUACUCAGAGAAGUAGUGGGUCAAAAAAGUAGCGAAGAAGCACUUGCAGUUCAUAGGCUACCCCAUCACCCUUUACUUGGAGAAUGAACAAGAGAAGGAAAUCAGUGACAAUGAGGCAGAAGAAGAGAAAGGUGAGAAAGAAGAGGAAGAUAAAGAUGAGGAAGAGAAACCCAGGAUCCAGAUGAGGAGGAUGACGGCAGUGAGGAGGAGGAGGAGGAGGAGGAGGACACUGAUCCGGAGGAAUUAAACAAAACCAAGCCCAUUUGGACCAGAACCCCUGAUGACAUUACCCAGGAGGAGCAUGGAGAAUUCUACAAGAGCCUCACCAAUGGCUGGGAAGACCACUUGGCAGCCCAGCACUUUCCUGUAGAAGGUCAGUUGGACUUCAGGGCUUUGGUCUUCAUCCCUCAUUGGGCUCCCUCUGACCUCUUUGAGAACAAAAAGAAAAAGAACAACAUUAAACUAUGUGUCUGUUGUUUGUUCAUCAUGGACAGCUGUGAUGAGUUGAUACCUGAGUAUCUCAACUUUAUCCGUGGUUGACUCUGAGGAUCUGCGCCUGAACAUCUCCCGAGAAAUGUUUCAGCAGAGCAAAAUCUCAAGAAGUGAUUCGUGAAAACAUUGUUAAGAAGUGCCUUUUUAGGGUCUAAUACCUUGAGCUCUUUUCUAAGUUGGCAGAAGAAAAUGAGAACUAUAAGAAAUUCUAUGAGGCAUUCUCGAAAAAUUUAAAGCUUGGAAUACAUGAGAACUCCACUAACCAGCGACGCCUGUCUGAGCGGCUGUGCUAUCACACUACCCAAUCUGGAGAUGAGAUGACUUCUCUCUUAGAGUAUGUCCCUCGCAUGAAGGAAACACAGCAGUCCAUCUAUUACAUCACUGGUGAGAGCAAAGAGCAGGUGGCCAACUCUGCGUUUGUGGAGCGAGUGUGGAAGCGGGGCUUUGAGGUGGUAUACAUGACUGAGCCCAUUGAAGAGUACUGCGUGCAGCAGCUUAAGGAGUUUGAUGGGAAGAGCCUGGUCUCAGUUACCAUGGAGGGCCUGGAGCUACCCCAGGAGGAGGAAGAGAAGAAGAAAAUGGAAGAGAGCAAGGCAAAGUUUAAGAACCUCUGCAAGCUCAUGAAAGAAAUCUUGGGUAAGAAGGUUGAGAAGGUAACAAUGUCCAGUAGGCUGUGUCUUCAGCCUGAUGCAUCAUGACUGGGACCUUCGGUCGGACAGCCAACGGGGAGCAGAUCGUGGAAGCCCGGGCACUUCGGGACAACUCUACAAUGGGCUAUAUGAUGGGCAAAAACACCUGGAGAUAAACCCUGACCACGCCAUCGUGGAGACACUGCGGCAGAAGGCUGAGGUGGACAAAGGCUGUCAAGAACCUGGUGGUACCACUGUUGGAAACUGCAUGGCUCUCCUUUGGUUUCUCCUUUGAGGAAUCCCCAGGCAAACUCCAACUGCAUCUACCACAUUGUCAAGCUAGGCCUAGGCACUGAUGAAGGUGAAGUGACAGCAGAGGAACCCAGUCCUGCUGCUCCUGAUGAGGUCCCACACCUUGAGAGUUAUGAGGAUGCAUCUUGCAUGGAAGAAGUAGAUUAG